ACAAAUACACAAGGAAAGCUCCAUGGAAGAUAAAGGCAGAGAUUUACAAGCCAAGGAAUGUCAAAGACGGCCAGCACACCACCAGAAGCUAGCAGAGAGGUAUGGAACAGAUUCUUCUUCACAACCUCAGAGGGAAAACCCUGCUGAUACCUGGAUUUCAAACUCCUGGCCUCCAGAACGUCCCUGGAGAGAGGACGUGAUGUCUGAAGCUAUGGCAGCCAUCUUGUAACUAUGAGGCCACAAACAAGAAAAGCAAAAACCAGAGUGAAGCAUGGCAGAGCAGAAAGAUGGAAAGAACCUGGAUACAUAAGAGUGUCACUGUGCAGCUGUACCCACCCUAGACUGCAUAUACCUGGACUUUAAGUAAAUGACAAAUAUCCUUUAUUCUAUCUCAA
rnacentral:lncRNA from 1 species